ACACAUGUAUCUCAAUAAGAUCUACAAAAAAGUCAAUGCGCGCGUAUCUGUCAAAUGUACGGUUAAAGGGCUAUUUUGCAUUUUUUGCCGAUUCGCACACAUUGGAAUGUGGCUAACUCCUCCUAAGGCUUUCGUCCCACUGACACCAAAUUUGCUCAGGCCAAUCUACACCCCAUGGCCAUUCAAAGUUGUAAAAAUCAUGACGCUGCACCCCACGGUUUACGUUCUAGGGGGCGCCAAAGAUGACCCAAAAAUCCACAUUCUUAAAGGAAUCCACAUCCCCCCCCAAGGCAGGAGAAAAAGUCAAGUUAACCCUGCCCAUCGCUCAAUGGCUCAAUCGCAUCGCUCUCCAGGCAACACCGUAAGGAGGAGCAACCUGCCAUUUCGAUAUAUCAUAGCUGUGUUUGUGCCCUCACUCAUGGUCCAGACUUUUUUCAAAUAGGACAUGAAGUUUGUCUGCAGCGAGUGUUUUGGUAGAAACUGCGCCUCCCAUUCAUUAUAAUGGGAAAUGACCACAGACAAGUGCGCACACCAUCUUUGGACCUUGAGUGUGACGCGAUCGGGAGGGGGAGGCGGUCGCGCUAGGGGCGGCGCGACGCGGCUCGGGCCCGACAGUGCCCCACCGGGGCCCUAGUUAGGGCCCGAGCGUAGCUGCUAAGCAGCUGCGAGAGCCCUCUUGUUCCUGUAGUUUCCUUCUUUUGUUAUUAGGGCCCGAGCCAGCUGCAGAGCAGCCGGGCGUAGGCCCUGUUAUUCCUGUAGGGGUUUUUCUUUGUUUCUUUCUUUCUUCUUUUUCCUCCCCUUUGAACUGGAAAAUGGCCCACUUCCCACUGGCGAAAACUCAUGAAAUUUGGCAGGACGACCGGGCCUGGUGAAAAAUUCGAUAUUCUGAAGUCGCCCAAACAAUAAAAUGCAAAAUGGCUCCAUAGCGCCCCCUAAGGUGGAAAUUCACACUAUUGACUGUCACGCCUGUACGCUUUGUCAUAUUGACACAAAAAUUGACACACAUAUGUAUCUCAAUAAGAUCUACAAAAAAGUCAGUGCGGCCGUAUCUGUCAAAAUUACGGUUAAAGGGUUAUUUCGCAUUUUUUGCCGAUCCGCACACAUUGGAAUUUCGCUAACUCCUCCGAAGGCUUUCGUUCCACCGGCACCACAUUUGCUCAGGCCAAUCUACACCCCGUGGCCAUUAAAAGUUAUCAAAAUCAUGACGCUGCACCCCAAGGUUUAGGUUCUAGGGGGCGCCAAAGAUAACACUAAAAUCCACAUAUUUAAAAGUCUUAUAACUUUUUAUUUUUGUCCUCACUGGCCUCCAAGUUUUCUAGGAUGAUGCAAUGUCCAGCCAUCAACACAUUUGUGAAGGAAUUUUUACUCCCCAAAAGAGCGCCCCCCCAUGGCAGGAGAAAAAAGUCCAUUUUUUCUUGUCCCCUAAGGUGAAAAUACACAUUGUUGAGUGUCACGCCUAUACGCUUUGUCAAAAUGACACAAAAAUUGACACACAGAUGUAACUCAAUAAGAUCUACAAAAAAGUCCAUGCGCGCGUAUCUGUCAAAUGUACAGUUAAAGAGUUAUUCCGCAUUUUUUGCCGAUACGCACACAUUGGAAUUUCGCUAACUCCUCCGAAGGCUUUCGUUCCACCGGCACCACAUUUGCUCAGGCCAAUCUACACCCCAUGGCCAUUAAAAGUUAUUCAAAUCAUGAUGCUGCACCCCAUGGUUUAGGUUCUAGGGGGCGCCAAAAAUAACCCAAAAAUCCACAUUCUUAAAUGUUUUAUAACUUUUUAUUUUUGUCCUCACUGGCCUCCAAGUUUUCUAGGAUGAUGCAAUGUCCAGCCAUCAACACAUUUGUGAAGGAAUUUUUACUCCCCAAAAGAGCGCCCCCCCAUGGUAGGAGAAAAAAGUCAAUUUUUUCUUGUCCCCUUACAUAAAAAUACACAUUGUUGAGUGUCACGCCUGAACGCUUUGUCAUAUUGACACAAAAAUUGACAAUCAUGUGUAUCUCAAUUAGAUCUACGAAAAAGUCAAAGAGCGCGUAUCUGUAUAAUGUACGGUUAAAGGGCUAUUUUGCAUUUUUUGCCGAUUCGCACACAUUGGAAUGUGGCUAUCUCCUCCUAAGGCUUUCGUCCCACCGAUACCAAAUUUGCUCAGGGCAAUCUACACCCCAUGCCCAUUCAAAGUUGUAAAAAUCAUGACGCUGCACCCCACGGUUUACGUUCUAGGGGGCGCCAAAGAUGACCCAAAAAUCCACAUUCUUAAAAGUCAUUUUGGCCACUGCAGGAGUACAGAGUACUGCAGUUCUAGGGGGCGCCAAAGAUGACCCAAAAAUCCACAUUCUUAAAAGUCUUUUUGGCCACUGCAGGAGUACAGAGUACUGCAGGAUACACACACAUAUACACACACGCCAACAUACACACACACACACACACACACACACACACACAGACACACACACACACUCAGAGUCUGUUUUUUAGCACCUGCAAAAACAUGCUGUUUACAUAUUUGACAAGAAUGCAGAGGCUUCCUUUUGCCCCUGAAAAAAAUCAAAUUUCAAACACAACUUGACUGUUCAUUUCUCCAAAAGACAACCAUGAAGCUCCAUUUCAAACCUGAAGCAGAUAGUUGGUGCAUGUGUACAGUAACCUGAGGGGAGUGAGGUGACUAUUUCUGAGGAGAACAUGAGCAGUGAAGAUUCACCUUGGAGCUAGAACAGGGACGUGCACAUGAUUAUACAGGGGCAGGGGCUCAAGUUUUUUCCAGUCAUUUAUACAAUAUGGAAAUUAAUGUGAAAUUAAACCACAAAUAUGUGUGAUGAACUGUUUUUAAAACUUAAACUUCAAAUAAAAAUUGUAAACUUCAAAACAUAUGCAAAUUUUUAACAAAGAACAUAGUAAUUUACCUCUAUUUACAUCAAAAUGCAGGCAAUGGCCCAGGCGUUCUUUGUAAAAUUAUUUACAAAACACUGUAUAGUCUCACAAAUGUCACUUUUUAUUUAUGCCACUACAAAAAAACAUGAUGUAAAUGAUGCAUGAUGUAAAACAUGAUGUAAAAAACUUGUGUAGAUCCUCCUCUAUGUCAGUCCAUGUGUAAUUUUUCCAUAAUUCUUUGUUUUUUGCAGCAUUUUUGUUAGUGUAACUGCAGAUUGUGCUGACAGUGUCUAUGGCACAAAAAAAAAAAAAAUUAAAAUGCCUCAACAUGAACCCCUGGUGGUCUCUGAGGGUGAAACCUGCUAACUGCUGCAGCUCUGUCAGCUUCAGUCUCCCAUGCAGAGCUCUGAGUGCAUGUGUGGCUCUGCACCCUUAGCAGCGUUGCUAACUCCUCAGUAAGGAAAGCCUGCUUCAUGUCAGAGUCUCUAAACUCCAGAAGAAGUCGAUAAAAGUCACUUUCUUUCUAAAAAAAAAGUCGUUAGGGGGUCUGAAAAGUCAUUGAAUCUAACAACAAAGUCGCUAGGUUUGCAACUACGUGUCCCAGACUGCAUCCCUGCUGAGAGUCCCCUCCUCCCUUCUCAUGUUGCAGGAAGAAUGUAAGCGCCCGCCCCUUGUCAAUCAGUCACCAUAUAAUUUUGGAUUGGUUGUUGUGGUGAAGUUUUCCACCAAUAGGAGAGAUGUUGUGGUGUGUUUUUUUUUUCCUUUGGCAAGCCUUUUCCGCC